AACGCAUCUUGCGCCCUUUGGUAUUCCGAAGGGCAUGCCCGUUUGAGUGUCAUUGUAUUCUCAAAUCCCUUCACUUUUGUGAAGUCGAUUUGGAUUUGGGGGUUUGCGGGCUUAUAUGGUCUGCUCCCCUUGAAUGCAUUAGCUGGAACCUUUUGCUAGACCGGCUUCGGUGUGAUAAUUAUCUGCGCCGUGCUCGUAAGGCGACUUGUCGAGGAUCCGCUUCCAAUGGUCUCUUUUAGAGACAAACUUAUCUGACAUCUGACCUCAAAUCGGGUAGGACUACCCGCUGAACUUAA
rnacentral:misc_RNA from 1 species